UUGCUUUAAACUUUUCUUUUUAUCUUCAAGAAUUAUUCCUGGGUUGUAAGAACUUCAGUAACUUGAGGAUUAAAAAUAAUUCCCAGGUAUACGGCUAAAAUUUCCAAUCAAGUCAUUAAUGUGGGUGGAAAGGAGUCUGCCUGGGAGAAGAGGACGGCAGAGGACGGCCAGAAAGGGGUAUCCGUGAAGAAGGCCGCGCUUCCAGAAGUUCCUCGGUGCUCCCUGCUUGUAUAUACGCCUUACCUGUCACUUUGUCCUCUGCAUUUGUCAUCGUGAUAAUCAAAAGGGAAAGGGAUGUCUCGCAUGCGUUCAAAAGUCAGGCAAAGUCCCCGAAGCGUGAAGGGAGGCAGACCGUCCCCGCACACCCAGUCAGCUGAGAAACCCUCUCAGAUGGCCUGGAAUGGGAUCCCCCAUGUUCUCCUCCUAAUCUAAGAAGACAAGAAAACAAACAAGCAAAAUGUCUGUGAUGGUAUUAAUUGGCUGCCUCGUAAGGUGAGUCACUGCUUUCGAUUGCUGAA
rnacentral:lncRNA from 1 species